GUGACCGUGGUGUACAGGUGUGCACGCCGGGUUGUGGCCCCGGAAGGCGCGGGUUCGAGUCCCCGCGGCCACCC
rnacentral:tRNA from 1 species